CCAGCAGUCAUCCUUCUACCCAGUACAGGGGAAAUUUCUUUUUCCUGUACUAGGCUUAGGGAAUAGCACUUUGGGGGGCUAACCCCUGGUGCUGCCCUAACCUCUUCCUCACAAAACCUUUCAUACAGCUGUGAGAGGCAAACUUCUCAGUUGUCAGCAUUUCCAGGAAGAAAGAACCCCUUGAGUGAUCUCCAUGUGACCUCGUCUGUCUCAGGUUCAUGAACAUGAAGGUGAGAGCAGCUCUUCCUCACAGCAUGACCAGGCAGUGACAAACACGCCACAUGGAAGGAAAUGAGUGAACAAUCCUCGCAUAUUCUGAAAUGAGGAGAUUGAGGUGCAAAGAGAGGCUAAGUUGCCCAAGGUUGCAUGUCUAAAAAGUAUCAGAGGAUGAGAAUACAGAUCUGACCAGGAUUCUAAAGCCCACGUCAUUCCCUCCACACCUGGUAGCUUCAGCCUUGCCCAGCUCCUGGUGGAACUUCCGCUCCGGGAUCCUGAAAUGCCCUGCAUGAAUCAUCAAGGGACAAAAAGAGGAGACUUUCCAGGGACUGACGCCCUCCCAGCCACCGUGGGAUCCCGGCUACUGUGACUGAGCCCAGUCAUGACUCCAGAGUGCUUCACAUCACAUCAUUCUUUCUCAGCAUCCAAAAUAUGAAGGAACUGAACCUCAGAGAGAAGAGAUAACCCUGGUCGGCCAGUAAACUGUAGAGAUCCAAUUUGAAUUCUCCCCUCUGUCUGGCUCCGACACAUGGGGUUUUCUUAACUCACACUGUGUCACCUGCAGAGUGUUUCCCUUCGGGGGAGAGAAACCCAAAAUAGUGAAAACGAACAGAAAAAGUUUGAAGAGUUCUGCUUCGGCACUUGAAGCCAAUCUCCCUACAGUCUUCUUCCUGUUCAUGCUUCCAAGAUGCUAUCAGGGAGGCUGGGCGCUGGGGACAUUUACACUCCUUGCCUCCCCAACCCCAACCUCGAGGAUUUCUGUAGGGGUGAAAUCACCUCAUUAAAGCUGUACCUUGUUGCGGGGGCGGGGGUGGAUGGGCAGAAGAACUCAUGAGGUGAUCAUA
rnacentral:lncRNA from 1 species